rnacentral:piRNA from 1 species
UGAGUACUUCCCAGAUCAACCUUCUGAG